GUGAAGGACAUGCUUCCUCUGGUCCCCACCCCAAGCUCUACCCAGGAAGAUUUGGGGGAAAGGACCUCAGGCGGGUCCUCCUCUCCAGGACCCCUCCCUCCUGGCCUCCACUCAAAUUCUUUACUUGGCUGCUUUCCUGGGAAGAGGGGAGAAAAAGAGAAGGAAAAGAAAAGAGGAAAUAGAGGGGAAACCCGGAGUGGCGAAGAAUGUAUCCGUCUGUGGUUUGGCAGCAGAAAAAGGUAUGGGGGCGUCCUCACUCCCCCACGCAGGCCUAGGGCCCCUGGAAAUCCCCACAAGGGCUUCUCCCAAGGCAGGCAGGGAAGGCAUCUUCCCACCACCCAUCCCUCACCACUUGGGGGGCCAGUUUAACCAAACUCUGCACAAAGAUAAAAUUGAGAUGCAGAUUCCUUCCCUUUGCUCUGAAUACAUCAGAUUGGAUACGGAUUUUCCUCUUUUCUUCCCAGUUAGACCGACUGGGGCCCAGAGGGAAGGUUGGGACCAGAUGGGGGAGGGGUAGAAGAGGCUCAGAAAGCUCCGGAACCUGGAGGGUGAGGGUGUGGGGAUGCCUUUUCCCUGCCCUUUCCCAAGGGCAAGCUCAUUCCUGCCUCUGAAUUCUGGGCCCUGCUAAGGAUGGGGGCUGGGCUUUCCUCUCUUCUGUACAUUCCUAGAAACUUCCAAGUUAUGCAUUUGUCCCAUCAGUUUUUGGAAGUCCUUCCUGCAGUCGCACCCACACCUUUCUGAGUGCAAUUAAACCCAAAGGGACAAGGCGGGGAGGUGGGAGAUAAAAGAAAAAUGUGAUUACAGAAAGUUUAACAAGAGGGGCUCUUACCGGCCAUUCGCAAUUGAAGAAACUGAGACUUUGGAGAGAAUGUCCAGUUUAAGAUUAGAUAGGGAACUAGUGGCAGAGCUGAUACUAAGUAAUAACAACAACCAUGUUAUUAUGUAUUAAGUGGUGCUCUGUGUUGUCUGAAGUAUGUCAUUUUAAUCCACAAGAACCCCAUGGAUUAGGCAGGUACUACUGUCAUCCUCAUUUUGUAGAUGGGGAAACUGAGGCACAAUCCAGUUAAGUAACUUGCAAAAGGUCAAACUGGCCGGGCGUGGCAGCACAUGCUUAUAAUCCCAGCGGCUCAGGAGGCUGAGGCAGGAGGAUCAUGAGUUCAAAACCAGCCUCAGCAAUUUAUCGAAGCUCUAAGCAACUCAGUGAGAUCCUGUCUCAAAAUAAAAUAUAAAAAAGGGCUGGGCAUGUGGCUCAGUGGUUAAGCAGCCCUGGAUACAAUCCUCAGUAUCAAAACAAAAAAAAAAGUCAACUGGUAGAUCUAAACCCAGAGUUGGUCUCAGCAUACCACACAGAACUCCGCCAUUCAGAAAACAGCUUUAGGACACAAAGCCUUGAGAAUGGAGCCUGGGCCACCCCAGGGAUCCUUGCAGGAGAUGAAAUCUCCUGAGCACUCUCUACAGUUACUCUGCACUCAGGACAUGGGGACCAAAGGUCAGAACUGAAAUCCAAGUCCAGAACACACAGGGAGUGUUCCCCUCACUUGGGAAAAGGGACAAGUGUAAAUGUCCUGAGGACAGCUUUGUAGGAGAAGGCGGGCCUGUGCAGGAAGGAGUACCAAAGGUGCAGGGACAGACCUGAUGAGGAAAGGACAUGGCUGAGGGCCACUGCCAGGCCAGGCCUCGCACAGCUGCAGUGUGGCCUGAACCAGGUGAAGAGCGUGAGUGGUUCCUGCCUUGCACAGAUGGGCACCACCAUGGGCACGGCGGUGGGUGCCACCAAGGUGAUAUGAUGAUGAGAAGGGUUUCAUUUCCCGUUUCCCAAAUGUUCUGUAAUAUUUUAUUGUUUUUGCAAGGAAAAGAAAACAAAGGAGACUUGCCUACUUUAAUUACUGGAAUUAAAUGCUGAGGACGUUGCCAAACACACACCCGCUUAUCUAUUCAUUAGAGCGGCCUCCUGCCUCCUCCCCACGGGCAGGCGCUCGCCACGAAAACAUUCUGCUAUCAGAUAUUCCGGGGCUGUGUAAAAUGGAAACUGCCUUUGAAAACAUGCCUACAGCUCAGAAACAGAUGCAAAUCCAGUGACAGGCUUGCCUUUUCCUGAGUUUCCCGGAAGACUCCCUCACUCAACGCGAACCUUCGCAGGGGGGGCCAUUUCUAUUCCCUGUCCUGAGCAACGUCCAGAGAGCUAGUCCUAUCAUCCAAAGAGCUCCAAAAGAGAUGGGUGGUGGCACAACAGUAUGAAUGUCCUUCAUGCCACUGAAGUACCCUUAGCAGUUCAAACGGGUGGAUGGG
rnacentral:lncRNA from 1 species